UACGUAGGGAGCGAGCGUUGUCCGGAUUCAUUGGGCGUAAAGAGCUCGUAGGCGGCUUGAUAAGUCGGAUGUGAAACCUCCAGGCUCAACCUGGAGUCGCCAUCCGAUACUGUCAUGGCUAGAGUCCGGGUAGGGGCCCACGGAAUUCCUGGUGUAGCGGUGAAAUGCGCAGAGUAUACAGGAGGACACCGGUGGCGAAGGCGGUGGGCUGGGCCGGCACUGACGCUGAGGAGCGAAAGCGUGGGGAGCGAACAGG
rnacentral:rRNA from 1 species